GUCUACGGCCACGCCACCCUGAACACGUCCAAUCCCGUCUGAUCUCGGAAGCUAAGCAGGGUCGGGCCUGGUUAGUACUUGGAUGGGAGACCACCUAGGAAGACCAGGUGCCGUAGGUG
rnacentral:rRNA from 1 species